rnacentral:rRNA from 1 species
UACGGAGGGGGCUAGCGUUGUUCGGAAUUACUGGGCGUAAAGCGCACGUAGGCGGCUUUGUAAGUUAGAGGUGAAAGCCCGGGGCUCAACCCCGGAAUUGCCUUUAAGACUGCAUCGCUAGAAUUGUGGAGAGGUAAGUGGAAUUCCGAGUGUAGAGGUGAAAUUCGUAGAUAUUCGGAAGAACACCAGUGGCGAAGGCGACUUACUGGACACAUAUUGACGCUGAGGUGCGAAAGCGUGGGGAGCGAACCGG